AGGUGCAAUCAUACCAGCACUAAUGCACCGGAUCCCAUCAGAACUCCGCAGCUAAGCGUGCUUGGGCGAGAGUAGUACUAGGAUGGGUGACCUCCUGGGAAGUCCUCGUGUAGCACCUC
rnacentral:rRNA from 2 species